rfam:Ciona savignyi cont_40538, whole genome shotgun sequence.
GCUUAUCACCAUUCCAGACUGAAUAUACCCGAUCUAGUCUGAUCUCGCAAGUCAAGCAAUCUCGGGCUUGGUUAGUACUUGGAUGGGUGACCGCUUGGGAAUACCAAGUGUGAUAAGCA